UUUUUCUGGUGGAAGCCGAACAUGAUCAUUUUUCUGAAGCUCACUCACACGUAGCUCUUGAAUAUUCUGAAACAAAAACAUAGCUCUUCACUAAUCCCCUUUUCAUGUCCUUCCGUCCCCUCGCUCCACCAAAAUUGCUUCCACUCGAGCUCAAGAUUCCCAACAACACCUCAAUUCCCCUGUUGAUUCCCUGCCGUGGCCUUGCUCGUCCUCACCUGCACGCACCGCUGCAGCUCGGCUCACUGGUGCGGCCACGGGGCGAGCCUAGUUUCGCUCGCUGUACGCCUCCUUGAUCUCUCAGGCCGGUCAACAGCGACGGAGGGGUAGUAGGGCUCGAUGAGAAGCUGCGCCAUGGAGGAUGCGAGCUUGCCGAUCUUGAAUGUGUCGUCGUCGUUAGCGUCCUUGGAGGCGAUGUGGGCGUGGAUCUCAUCUCCCGGAGCCAGCUUGGAUCCACAUCGAUUGUGAGGAUGCUGGCGGCUUUGUUUUCCCUCGCAUCGUGGUUGUCCCCGAGCAAGGCAGCCCGGUAGGUCCUCUUCAUCCUCGACAGUGGCAGCCUGAAUUCGGCGACUCUUUCUUCCACCUAGAGUCUAUUGGUACAGCAAAAUAUAUGCAAGGGCAAUGAACUGCAAUUUAGGCUUUUCACACACGAGCAAGUGUUUCGACAGAAAGGAGAUCAACUUCCAAGACCAGUGGAUGUUAAGUUCCAAUCUUCAGUUGAAAACACAAAUAUUUUCUAUAUGAUCUCUGUAGAUGGUACUUGCCGGAGGUGGUUUGCUUGCUCGAUGGAGCCGAUCAAUCAAGGAGAUUUGGACACUCGCUCGUGAGAGUUACUUUUUUUUUAGGGAAAGCCAUUAUGACGGUGUAUAUUGAUUUGCAAUAAUAGCUACAUCAGCCGUAAGGACGGCAAGUUAAAAAGCUGGAGGUUGCUUGUCAUGGAUAUGAGUCCAACCUAUUGUGAGUUUUGUUUUUGGGACCGUGAGAUUGAUUGUAAGAUUGGUGUGAAGAACAUGACAUGGAUGGUAAAAUUGAUCGUGAGAUUAGUGUCUUCAUAAGAUA